UACGGAGGGUGCGAGCGUUGUCCGGAAUCAUUGGGCGUAAAGGGCGCGUAGGUGGCCCGGUCAGUUCGUGGUGAAAGCGCGGGGCUCAACCCUGCGUCGGCCAUGAAUACUGCCGCGGCUGGAGCACUGUAGAGGCAGGCGGAAUUCCGGGUGUAGCGGUGGAAUGCGUAGAUAUCAGGAAGAACACCCGUGGCGAAGGCGGCUCUCUGGGACGGUACUGACGCUGAGACGCGAAAGCGUGGGGAGCGAACAGG
rnacentral:rRNA from 1 species